GAUGAAGUAUUGUUAAAAAGGAGGAGAUUAAAAUUACAUACAACAGUACUGCAGAAUAUCAAACACAAGGCAAAGUUUAAAGAGAAUGUGAACAAAGAAAAGGCCAAUGACUGGAAAUCAUUAGUUCAACUUCAAGAGACUGAUUUCAGGAAAAAAAAAAAAAAGGGUGUCAGAUUCCAAAAACUUAAGACUCAGUAUUAGUGUUUUCUUAAAACGAGAAAUGGGAAAGGAGUAGGGACAAAUCAUGUAUUCAACUCUAAAAAUGGAAUGACUAAAAAUUUCAGAAAACUUUCGUGCUAUUCUUUCUAAAACUAUUUUGUAACUUUGCAACCUGCAGAAGUGAUAUGUGCAACUAAUUCAAGUACUCAUUAUCUAAGUCUCACCUUACAAAAGUCAUCAUAAGAAUUUACUGGUGUUUAAACAAAAGAACUGAAAACAAAUUUCACAUAAUACCCCAAUGGCCAUUAGAUGGUAAAAUGGACUCAACAUUGUUAUGAGAAACAAAUUUUUUUUAAAGAAAACAGUGAAAUAUCACUCCACAUUACACAUAAAUCCCGAUGACCCAGCAAUUCCAUCCCUAGGUAUAUAUAACUAACAGAAACAAGUGCUAGCGCCACCAAAAGGCACAUACAUGUUCACAACAACUUUAUCUGUAAUAGUCCCAAAUUGGAAAUAACCCAAAUAUCCAUCAACAGUGGACUGGGUCAAUAAACCAUAGUAACAAAUUCAUAAAACAGAAUACUUUACAGCAACGACAAAGAGCUAACACAUGAAAAACAUGGAUAAGUCACACAGAUAAAAUAUUGAAGAAGUCAGAUACAAGAGAUUACACAUUUAUCAUUCCUUCUCAGAAAAAGGCAAAACUAACCUACGUCACCAGAGGCAAGAAGGGUUAACUAAGUGGGGACAAGACAGUCUUCUGGGGAGAAAGAAAUAUUCUACAUCUUGAUGUGGGUGAUGAUGACAUAGAUGUACACAUAUGUAAAUGUUCAAUAAGUUAUAUACCUGAGAUUUAUAAAAUAAUCUUUAAAAAAAUUUGUUUGUGAACUGAUCACUUACAAAAUUAGUUCCCAUUCACUAACAUUUCCCUCACCAUAAUGGCUUACAAGCCACCAGUGAAAGUACAAAGUUUGCAAGAUACUCUAAAAUUUUACAAAGUUUAUUAAAAUAACGGCCAACAAUGUAGGGUAAGGGAUUUAAUUUUACCCUACCAUUCCCCACCCCCAAGCAAGUAAGUUAGUCUGUUAACUGUUUCACGGAUGCUGACGAAGGACAUGGGACUCCAGAUUCAGAGACAAAUGACUUUAACACUCAUGGACAGACAGCAAGCAGCAUAAGCAUCAGAUUUGCAGUUCCCUUCGCCUCCAAGAGACCCGCAGAAGUGAUGUGAUAUUGCCAAGAUGGAUGGUACUUCUGCAGUGGGUUUACACUGAUAGAGAACAAUGAGCUGAAAGAAUUCACCAUGUUUACACUUACAGUAAGCAAGCCUAUCUUAGUGGAGAGAGAACAGCUUCACUGACAAAGGAUUAAGAGUGAUCCUUAGUAAAAUCAGUAUGUAUUUUUUAUGGAUAUUUUCACAAAAAACACAAAAAAGCUCUUCAUGUUAGUAGCACGCAUGACAAACAUAAGGGAUGCCCUAUCAUGCUAAAUUAUCUUGUGAGAAAAAUUAAGCCUAUCCAUCAAACUUGAUCCUUUCUUUGUUCAUCAUAAGAAUACAUGUUUACAACUGUAACUUAAUGUUUUUCCCAAGUUUUAAUUUUUGAAGAUGAAGUACCAAUCAGACCUUUUAUUCAAUUUAGUAUAAAAUACAGAUAGAAUUUUAAAUGGUUUCAUUUUAAAUGGGUUUCUUUAGAGCCAAUUAUCGUUAGUUCAGGAAGACCUAAAUGUAGCAUGAGCUUUUCUUAAUGACUUAGUUAUCCUUACGAAGCUCUCCGUUGCUGUGCUGUGCUGGAAAUUCUCUGUACAAAGCAUGGAACAUGGGCUGCAAUGUUAAUGACUGAAGAGACAACAGGGCAUGAAUGAUCUUAAGAAGUUACCUAAAGAGGUAGACUUUUGUGGGACAUUCGGCUUUCUUAAAAAGAAUAUAGCUAUUUCAAGGAAUCCAACAGCUUCCUUUCUACAAAAUCAAUUGCUAAAGCAAAAACAUUAAUAUUCCUUUGAUGAUGAUGAUGAUAAUAAUAAAAAACCACUAGCAUUUAUCGAACACUAUGUUAACACUGUUAAGGACCUUACUCUGAGAGACAAAAAAAUCAUUAAAAUCUCGCAACAGCCAUAUCAGGUAAAUUCCACUAUUCUCAUUUUACAGAUGAGAGAACAAGGAAAGAGAAAUUAAAAGUAACUUGCUUAUUUAUAUAGAUUAGAAAUAGAGCCAAGAAUUGAAACUUGGCAGGCUGGCUCCAGAACUCACACUCCUAAACACUGUACACACGGUACCCUAAAAAGAAAAGUCUCCCACCAAAGAAUAUUCUUUGCUUAAAGACCUUCUCUACUGUUCUCCCUAUCUCUGACUUCUCCAAAAUACUCAAAGUGUUGUUAUCACAACAUUAUAUAGUUUCAGAGACCAAGGAUAAUCCUGUUCAAUAUGCUCACUUUCAAAGUGAUUCUUUAUACCACUUAACAUACUUCAUUAACCUCUUUAUCUACUUCAACCCAUUCUUCUCUCAAUUGAACAAAAUGAGUCAAUAUGUAUGAAAGACUAGUGUUUAUUACUAUUAUAAUAAAAUUAUAAAAAUAAAAUUUAUAUAUUAUUAAAAUUUAAUUAAAAAUUUAUAUUCAUUAUGGUAGCCUUACUCCAAAGCCUUUUUAUCUCAUUAGGACAUUUUUGCCACACUAACCACUAGAACACAUAAUUUUAACAGCCUAAAUCUCACUCAUUCACUUCAUUAAUAUUUAACAUUUAGGUUUCUAAAUAAAAUUGUUUUACUGGGAUCAAAAUUGCUGUACUGUACCCGUAUGAUAAAUUUUCUCCUGUAAACUAUUCUGUAAAAUCUAUCAGAUUCGAGACAAUACCUUGAUCCUCACAAAUAAAACUAUCACAGUGCUUUGGAUACAGCAAUAGAUUUAUUUUACUAUCUUAAGUCCCUGGUUAUGAAAAGAAUUUCUCACUACAUACACAAAAAACAAAAUAAAUUUUUUUUCAACGUUUAUUUAUUUUUUUGGGGACAGAGAGAGACAGAGCAUGAACGGGGGAGGGGCAGAGAGAGAGAGGGAGACACAGAAUCAGAAACAGGCUCCAGGCUCUGAGCCAUCAGCCCAGAGCCUGACGUGGGGCUCGAACUCACGGACCGCGAGAUCGUGACCUGGCUGAAGUCGGACGCUUAACCGACUGCGCCACGCAGGUGCCCCGCAAAAAACAAAAUAAGAUAUUAUACUUUUUUCUAGUAUGCAUAUAUUAGCAUCUGUAAUAUGAACCCCAAGUAAACAUUCAAUCCUUUGAAAAUCAGGGUAUGACUAGGUUUUCUAGUAAUCAAAAUGUAGAAUUUUGAAUCUAUUCAUGAAAAGUUGGUUCAAUUUUUCACACCUCUUUUGCUUUUCACUAAGUAAAAUGAAUUCACAAACACUGAGAACACCAAUUUUCAGCUCAGUCAGCUGUGUGCAUAACCAUCCAUAAUACCUUCCUAUAGUAUCUCUAAACUUAUCCUAGUAAUAGAGGAAAGUCCCCAAAGCUAUACUGAAUAACUUCAGUCUUCAGAGGUUACAUAUUGCUGGGCAAUUAAUCUGGUUCUCUGUGCUCCCAUUCCACAAUGCCUUCAGAGUCUACUGAGGCACAAACAGACAUAACCAGUGCUAAUCUUGAUCUCAGAGUCACGGUCUUAUUUAUACAACACACAUUCACUGAGAGCACCUAAAAAGGGCAAACCACUAAGCAAGAAACUAAAAGGCUAAAAAAGAUAAAUCAAGUCCAGACUAAAACUUUAAAGAAUUACAAAUCGAUAAGCUAUGAAAAUAUGCCCAUACCUCUCUGCAAUACACAAUGGAGAAUGGCAGAUGCCCUAAGGGUGUAGAAGGUGCUACAAUAAAUUAAGGGGAUGGCCCUUUGGGGACAGGGGAAGGGAGACAAGAACCACCAAGUAGCUUUAUCAGAGGCAUAAAAAUAAUUGUGAGUAAAGACACAAAAUCUGAGUUUUCAUCCACCAGGAUGAGAAAAUGAUUCAGUUUGCUAGAACUGAGGUGGUAGAACUAAAGAACUGGCUAGAAAUGUACAAUAAAAUAAGGCUAAUCUACACACGGAUAACAAUAUACGCAUUGUAACACAUAAAAACACCAGAUCUAAAAAGUCUAAUAAACUUGGGUUCAAAUUCUGGAUUUAACAUUUACACCUAAACCUCUAUUUUUUCCUAUUUUGUAUAAUAAAUAUCAGUUCUGAGAAUUAAAUGAGAUACCCACUUAACUCAGUGCCUGGCAUGGCACAUUCUCAGUAAAGGAGAACUGCAGUUACCACUGUUGCAAUUAUCAUGAACAUUUCUGAGAUCAGGCUGAGGAUUUCAAAAUAUAUAGCUGAGCUACUUUAUUUCAAUGAAUAUACAAAGCCAUCUACUUAAGAUGUACCAUUGUUUUAUUAACCUUGAAGGAAGAACAGGUUGCAAAUUAAACUAUCACACAGUGCUUUCUUAUCACUUAAUUUUUUUCUUCACAGUAUCAAUCUCUGCCCUCAGACUGCAGGUCUGAAAAGUGUUCCCGUAUUACCCCAGUAUUGUCAUUCAAGCUAUGGACAUCCCUCCUGCAAGUUCUGAUACUUGCCUGAUCUUCCCAAAGGGUGUAAAUGAAAGAAAUGACAGCAACAUAAACAGAAAGGCAGAGUUUAUGCACCUGCAAGGACAACUGCAACACAAAUGUCACCUAGCUAAAACCAAUACUCAAAUGCCAUUGAUUAUAAGACACCUCCCAAUUUCAGAGAUGUUACAAGGUGAAAAAAAUGUAAGUACACCUUAUAAGAAAUAAGGAAAUAAUGCAGCUUUUUCUUUUUUCCUCCCCCAAAGUCCCUUCUCCUGCUACCCACCCCCCCCAUCACUUCCCACCAGUAUUUUGCUGUUCUCCUUUCUUUUGUUCUCAUCCCUUUGACUCUUCUUUCCUGCCUACUCUUUAUUCAUUCCUCAUAACGUCUCUCUCCCACAUUCCUCGUUGCUUACCUCUGUGCUCUCCUCUAAGUAAAAAGGAAAAUGCAUUUCACAGCCCAGAUAUAUGAGACAGUGUUCUACACGAAAACCUGGCUUCUAAGCAGAUUCUAUUUGUGCCUCUGCCAUCUUCAUCCUGGGCCAGUGAUCACAUUAAAGCUAUCCUAAUGUACACCAGUGGGAAUAAUACAUAUUUGCUACUAUUUUUUAAAGGUGAUAUAAUUAAUUCCUAGGAAAACAAGGAGACUUCAAGGAACUGAAAUCAUGGAAUUAUUUUCUUUUGCAAUCAACAUUCAUAAGAAGCUAUUUCAAAUUUGUAACAUUUAAUGUUUAACAUCUUUUACAUUUUAACCUUUAUUUAUAAAUAUCAAAGCCUUAUUUCAAUAGCCUAAUCAGGGAGAGAAGACAAAUUCUGUUUUCUCUUUUUUGCUCUGAGGUUGUACUAUACCAAACUUUUACAAUUUUAAGUGUCAAAAUGAGCCUUUUCCUUAGAAGUCAAGUCUUAUGACAGUAAUGCAUAGUGGGCUAACCAAGUAAAACAAACCAAAAAAUACAAAUUAAACUGAACAGUACCCAAAAUAUUCCUUUCAGGGAUUUUCUAUUUCUAGCUUUAAAGCCAGAGAAUGUCCCCAAAUCUAAAAUCCUGUUAGGAAAUACCUGUGACAACCUGUGUAAGUUGAGACAGUUAAUUCCCAUCAAUAUUGCAAUUUGAGUAAAUGUAACUAAAUCUGGUGAUCAAACACUGUGAAACUUAGAUCUAUUUAGGGGGAUCAUAAAUAAAACAGAAAGAAAGAGGAAUUAUUCCAACAUAACUGGAAAACAGGAGAGAAAGAAGGUAAAAAGAUAUAUUUGUAAAUACGAAUGAAGAAAAAAUUAACUAGGCUGCAAAUGGCUAGUGACAAAAAGUGGAAGGCUUCGCCAGUAUAUAAAACAUCUUAGCUCUGCCUAGCUCUGGGUCCUUCCCCCACCACAUACAUUGCAGGGAAGUGGAUAAAAGUCUUAAGGAUGAGGCGAGGAUAACAGCACAUCAUUUCUGCACAUAUUUUGGGAAUGCUUAUCACAAGCUCAAAAGAGGAAGAUGACAAUCUAUAAACCACAAUACAGUUGUUAAUAAAGAACAAGAAUAAGAAAAACCAAGUAUUAUUAAGCCAAAUGAGGCAAGAAGAGGACAAUUAGUUUGUGAAGCAAAAGGGGAAGGCCCCAGAAUGAAUGCCAAACAGGGAAAGAAUGAAUACAGGGCUACAGCCCGGCUGCUAGAAGGAACCCUAUGUGCAGUGUAGAGUUCUAAGCAGAAAGACAAGUCCAAAGAGGAAUUUCGAGAAGUGACAAAUGGCAACAGCACAUGACUAAGUAAGAGACUUAAUUCAGGAGGCAGAGGGUAGAUGGAAUAUAUGGUAGAAAUCCAACUAUGACAGGAGGACACUCCAGCACAGUGGUACACAGACCAGGACAGGGAUGGCAGUAGAGACAAAAAUGAAGUGAUGUGAUGGGCAUUACAAAUAAAACAUCAACAGGAUUUGGUAACUACCCAGAAGAGACCAAGGGCAAACAAGAAAGGUAACGGUUUAAAAGCUGAAAAAUAAAGACAUCACUUACCUACAAAGGACAAUUCUAGGUCUAGCCAAGAGGAGGCCGUGGAGGGCUGGGAGGAAGUAAGCACAGAUGCACGUCCCGGCAAUAGUGAAACUAAAGCUCAAGAGAAGAGGGAUGUGUAGAUUUGGAGGACCAUAGCAACAGAAGGGAGAGCUGACUCUGAGAGGGCAGGUUUCCUUUACUCAAAACCGGCUGAGUAUCUAAUAAGCCAAAAAGUCAGGCUGAAAAGACACUAUCUGUAGUAUCAAAGAUCUUAAAAAGUAAUGGAAAGAAGAGAAGGUGUUGUGAACAGCUUCAUAUGGUUAGUACACCGCUUCAUUUUCUUCUAGAUUUACUUUCGUAUGAUAACCAAGAAAGAUGAGCCAUUAAAGUAAAAUUAAAAAUAUGUACAGCAAGCAGAGAAGGCCAGUAACUGAGCAGGCAGGAAUGUGUGCUACUUCUUAUAUCAGAACUUGGUGGGACUUGAGAAAAUAACUAUGACCUAUUACCUGCCAUACCUUGGAAGUUUAUAGUCUACCUCUGUUUAUGAAGACCUGACUGGAUGACUUUUUCAUUACAGGGUUUUUUUUUUUGUUUUGUUUUGUUUUUAUUUCUUAGAGAAAUGACUCCUCCCCAGAGCUAAAGAACAAAAACAAAAACAAACAGGUAACAGUAAGAUUGAGAAAUCCUUGUGUGUUAAGUUCCCUGAAAUUCUUCUGCAAACUUUCAAUUAAUAAUGCAGAGUACCUUGGAAAUACAAAGAAAAAGCAGUGGUACCUCAGAGAUAUAUUGAGAACAUUAUACACAUUAUAAAAUUAAGAAAUAUCAUGCAUUACAGAAGAAUCUAGCAUAUUACAAAACACACACACACACACACAUUAAUUCUAUUUCAGCUCAAGCAUCCCUUCUUCAGGAAGCCUUCCCAGAUGGUGAUGCACAGACAAACCCCCCCCUCUUAAACACUCUUACUGCAUCACAUAACUCUACUCUGUAGCACUUAACACACUAUAUUUUUACAUUUAUCUGUCCAACUCCGUAAGAGUACAAAUUCUGCAUGAAUGUAUAUUAGAGGAACCAUACCUAUUUUCACUCAUCACUGUAAGCCUGGUGAUACACACGCUCAAGAAAUAUUUGUUUAAUAAAUGAAAGAGAAUGAGCACAAAAAGCUUUUGAAAGGGCCUUAGCUGAAGGGGUAGGGUACUUCUCACUUUCUGCUUCAUACAAUUCUUUACUUCUUAAAACAAACAUACUUCCAAUAUAGUCAGGGGAAAAAACAAAUUUUAAAACCAAAGUGCAACUAUACCUCAGCCAUAUUAAAAUCCUUACUAAAGAGAGGACUUGUAUGUCAAGAGACAUUCAUAUUUCAAAAAAAUUAUCGGGGCGCCUGGGUGGCGCAGUCGGUUAAGCGUCCGGCUUCAGCCAGGUCACGAUCUCGCGGUCCGUGAGUUCGAGCCCCGCGUCGGGCUCUGGGCUGAUGGCUCAGAGCCUGGAGCCUGUUUCCGAUUCUGUGUCUCCCUCUCUCUCUGCCCCUCCCCCGUUCAUGCUGUGUCUCUCUCUGUCCCAAAAAUAAAUAAACGUUGAAAAAAAAAAUUUAAAAAAAAAAAAAAAAAAAAAAAAUUAUCUCCAACAGAUCUAUCUAGGACUAUUCAAAUUUGGAAGCUGAAAUUUAAGAAAAACCAAUGAGAAACUAGGGGCAAACACUUUCUGCUCUCAAAAAAUAUUAGUAAGAAUUCAUCUUUCAAAGGAAUUUAUCUUCCUAUACUGGAAUGUCUUUUGUACCUCCGAGAUUUUACAAAGGCCAUUCUCUGCCCAAACCAUUCUCCUCAAGCCCCAAUCACUAAUUUCCAAGCUCUCUUGGCAUUCAGACUUCAGCUUCAGUGUCAUCCCAGAGACCUUCCCUGAUCACCUCAUAAUCCUAUAUAAAGUAGGUUUUCCCCAAUCCCUCAUCUAAUACCAUGUUCAUUUCCUUCAGUGUAUAAAUCAAUUUGUAAGUGUUUGCUGACUUACAUGAUUUUUAUCUCUCUCACCAGAGAAUAAUCUUUAAGAAACAAUACUAAGCAUAUUCAGAGCACCUUUGAAAUUUAUUCAAGUAAUUCAUUCAGAAGGAUAUUUUCUGAGGUAGCAUUCCAGGAGCUGGGAAUAUACACAUGAAUAAAGAGACCCAAAACACUUGUCCUCGGUAGAUUACACUCCAGAGGAGGGAGACAGACAAAGGCAAUAAAUAAGCAAUAGUGUAGUUUGUUUGGGGAAAAGUGCUAGGGAGAAAAAUAGAGCAGAGGAAGGUGAAUGGGAAGUGUGGUGGGAGAGGUGUGAUUUUAAAUAGGGCAGCUGAGGUGGGCCUCACUUAAGCAGACACCAAGGGAAUCAAAACAUGAAGGAAACAGGAGCAAGACAGGCAGACAUCUGGGGGAAAUCACGGCAGGCAAAUGCAACAGGCAAUGCAAAGAUCUCAAGGUGGGAGCACGUCCAGCACAUUCUGAGAACUGCCAAGACCAAGGUAGCAUGAGAAUAAAGUGAACAAGGAAGGGAAAAUAAUGAAUGGGGUUCAGUAGGUAAGAGACCCAGAUUGGACAUCCUGCAUAUAAGGGCAAUGGCUUUUACUGUAACUCAAAUGAGGACCCAUUUGAGAGCUCUGAGUGGAGACAGGACAUUUUCUGACAAACAUUAAAGAACUAACUACUCUGGCUGUGUUGAGAAUAAACAGCAAGGGUAAAAGUGGGAGACCAGUUCAGAGUUGCAGUAAGCUAGGUGAGAGAUGAUAAUGGCCUAGAUCAGAGUGAUGGCAGUUCAGUGGGGAGUAGACAACUUCACAUGCAUUUUAGGGAAUAGUAAGUUUCCUGAUAGAAGAGAUACGGGGAAUGUGAGAACACAGGCGUCAACAAUGAUUCCAAGGUGUCAGCCCUGACAACUGGAAGAACAGGAUUUGUCAUCAACUGAUUUGGGGGAAAACUGAUAACAAAGCUAAAGGAAGAUCAGGAGUUACAUUUUACAUACAUUAAAUGUAUAAAUAAAAUGUUAUUAAGCUUCACCAGGCUUCCAUUUCAAAUGAAAUCAUAUUAAUACGAAAACCCAAAGAUCCUGUUCUUACCUCAAGAUACCUAAGUAGGACCUCUGACCAACUCCCAGAAGAUAUACACAAACCACCCUCUAAACUCAUCCCUAGACACACACACACACACACACACACACACACACACACGGUUCGUGCCCAGACUUGACAAAACAAUUCACAGAAACAGCUCCUUCACUUUCUGCUCCAACACCUCUCCAACUGCUUCAAUCCAAAGGAAAAGGCAAGCAACCAAUCCAAAAAUUUCAUCCAACACUGUUAGUCAAAACAAAAUCUCCUGAGCACAUCAACCCAUGCAAAUAAAUGCCCAUCUGGUUGGGUCACAACCCACCAUGAUCUCAGCCAAACCUGUACAAAAGAAUUACAGAUGGGGGUCCUCAGGAAAUGCAUUUCUCAUAACCAUCCCACAAAAUUCAGAUUCGUUAGGUUUGAGAUUAGAACCCUACCUCCCACCAUUUCAACAAGAGUCUUAGGGUUUAUAGCAGGUCUGAGAAACAAGGUCCUUAGAACCAUGUAAAGAAGUCACUUGCAAAGGUAACUGUUUUUGUGGCUGGUGGGGGUAAAGCUCUAAAAAUAUCUUACCCUUAUGGCUCUAACACCAAUAGUAGUCACCAUGUAUCAGCACCACCAGUGUCAAACCAAUCCUAGAUCCAGACAUACAAUUACUAAAACACGUAAGCCACAUCCCUGGCUGCAGGCAGAGAAGAGAAACAAACCAGGACCAAGUUUGCCCACAAGCUUGCUUUCUUUCUUUCUUUUAAAAAAAUUUUUUUAAUGUUUAUUUAUUUUUGAGAGAGAGAGAGGGAGACAGAGCAUGAGCGGGGGAGGAGCAGAGAGAGAGGGAGACACAGAAUCCGAAGCAGACUCCAGGCUUCGAGCUGUCAGCACAGAGACCGACGUGGGGCUCAAACUCAUGGACCGUGAGAUCAUGACCCAAGCCGAAGUUGGACGCUUAAACGACUGAGCCACCCAGGCACCCCUCCCACAAGCUUUCUUGAUUCAGAAAUCCUACUAUUCUUUAUGGGAACAUCUAUGAGGAAGAGGGGAUACAACCACAUGGGCACCAAAAUAACUUUCCUAGAGAAACAUUUAAAUCACUACUUUUCCAAAUCGUGGCUCUCAAUUUCCAAAGAUAUCAAAAAUUCUCACAGUGGAUUUCAAAGCCAGUCAGGAGCUGAACUCAUGUUCCCUGACACUUCUCACAGAUUAUCUUGCAUAGUCUCUCUUUGUGCCCACACAAGUCUCUACGUUUUUAUCUCCCACAUCCAGACUUUUGUUUCCCAGUUUUUAAUCACUCUUUAAACUUCACCUGCUCCUCUAAGUCCUCUAAUUAAGCAGAGCCUGAUCUAGAUGUAUACUCACCCCCACAGAGCCUGCAAGAUUUCCUCUAUUACUACCAGAUGUGUUUGAGUAUACUUGUACAGGCCUGUAGGCACAGGAAUAGACACAGAGCUGGUCAAUCAUUAUGGUGCUUUCCUUUAAAUUAUAAAAUCGUCAAGGGAUACCGAAUCAUUACAUUACCAAAUGUGUCUCUGGAGCACCAAGCACUAACCUGAGUACACAACGCUUUAGGAAGAUGGUCUCCACAUACCUCAUGUGCACCCCAGAGUUCAAGUCACCUACUCAGAAGAAAAGGGAGCAAAUAUGGCUCUGGAUACCUUUUCAGCUGUUGUCAUCAUUCAUUUAAUGUACACUCAGCUCCAAAGAGUGGAAAUGGAAAUGGUCAGUGAGUUAAGUAGGUACUCACUUAAGUGGGCAGAAAGAGGUGAAUAAGGGGGAAAAAAAACAAAAGACUAGCUUUGAAAUAUUUCCACAGUACCCCCUUUUCCUGGGAACACAGAAACCAGAAUAACUAGAUCUCAAGUUAUACAGCCCACCAGAUAGGAUGCAAGGCAGAUCCUGACACAUCAUGAAAACAAAAGUGAACAAAACAAAACUUGCCUUGAAAGCACCAGCCAUAUUCUGAGAUCAUAGUUAAAUGGGCAAAGCGUAAGGCACUUCUCAGGACUCCAGGUGCUAAGCUCAGAGAAAAGUGCAAUGGUGACACUAGCUUCUUUUCUUACUGUUAUUUUCAGCAGUAACAAAGUAACACAUAUAUACAGAAAUCAAAAGGGGAAAUCCAGUUCAAAUCAGACAACAGAUCAAACCAUUGUCAGAUUUUCAGAGUAUACUCCUCUGUAAAUUGGAUGAACAUUACAGAGACUAGUACACCAGAGAAUUCAAAAGCAAAACCUGUUCACAAAAUGUACUUUAACAACUAGCUUCCAAAAGUGAAUUUCAAUUUUAGUCUUGCCCAUACAGAACUGUCUGAUAAAUAAUUCUUUCUUCUAAAAUACUGUCACAACCAAGUCAGGAAUAUCACAGUAAAAGCAGGAAGAAAAGUCACUGAAACCACCUCCCUCCUAAGAUGGGGCCACAAAUGUCUCCAGCUAGCUGCCCAAGACAAACACAAACAAACAAACAAACAAAAAACAUUGAAGAGCUGGAAACUAGGUGAUUAUUAUGAAAAACCUACUAACUCUGUAAUUACCCCCUCUUUCAAACAAUAAAAAUAUUAGAAUGUAAACGUGAUGUACGAAAAUGGGAAAUUAGCUGGUCCUAACAACAAUCAAUUCUUCAAAACGAACUGUGUAUCUUAACCUUCCAACUAGUACACAUACUUCUCGGAUUCAGAGUUCUAGAUAACGACAAUAAACUAGAUAAUCUAACACUAAAAAUUUCAAUUACUGUUAUUCUAUUAGGUUUGGAAGUGGAAAAACAAGGUGUGAAAAGACAUGGAUAGGCUUCCUGGGGUCGUGCACCAUCUUCUUUGGUGGGAAAGCACCCUAUCUCCCUGCAGCCUUCCUGGGUUGUAGCCUUCCAGAUAACUCUCCUCUCCAGAAUAAUCAGACUGGUGGAGUUACAAAUCAUCUCUCAGGCUGCAACUGUCCUUUAUAAAAGGAAAUCUUCAAUGUCUUUGACCUUGAGUCAAGCAGCACACCCAUCAGAUAUAAGGCACUGGUAACAUGUGAAGAAAUAAACUAUUUUGGCUUCUUCUUUGUGAUUAGUAUGGAACAUACACACACAAAGAGAGAGACACGUGGGACGCCUGGGUGGCUCAGUAGCUUAGGCAUCCGACUUGGGCUCAGGUUAUGAUCUCGUGCUUUGCGGGUUUGAGCCCCACGUCGGGCUCUGUGCUGACAGCUCAGAGCCUGGAGUCCACUUCGGAUUCUGUGUCUCCCUCUCUCUCUGCCCCUCCCCAACUCACUCUCUUCUCUCUCUAAAUAAACAUUAAAAAAAAAAAGAAAGAAAGAAAAUUUUAAAAAAAGACAAAUGAACACAGACCCUCCAGAAGUAAAGAGAACAGGCAAAAAUGAUAAACCAAAGGAAUAAAGGUGGCUAUAUCCUAAAGUACAUUCAAGCAGACUCUGAAAUUUAUCCAAAUGUGUGGCUCACUGCCUAAACCAACAUAUACAUCUGGUAAUAAUAAACACUGAUAAGUCAUAAACAAAAAGGGCUUUCUUAAUUCACACACUCUACAAACUACUGGUAACAUUAAAAUUUACAUAAAGCACUAUCAAACAAUAUGUGUAAAAUAGAUUUUUUAAGAUAGCAUUAGUAUUUCAAUUUACAUUACUAAUAAGUGAAAAACUGGUAUUUUACUGUUUGGUCUUCAAAAACAGAGAAUCCAGUAUCUUUGAUUUGACCAAGUUACAAAUCUGUUUUCAGUAGACAGAGAAAACAUAUUGCCUCUGUUUAACGCAAAGGACAAAAAAGAUCAUCACUGCAAAUCAUAAUGUUUGGGUUCAUGAUGAAAACAGGAAACAGACAGGCUGCCCAGGUAUAAUUAUGGUUAUAGUGUAAUGUGCCUUCAGGUUCAGCCAAGAAUUAAAACUCAGUGAAGAGUAAGCAGAAUUUACUUGCCUCUACCUUGCUACAGAAGGCAACUUUUAAUAAUACUUCCAGCAACAUGUUACAUAACUAACAGUAAACAACAUCUGAUUCAAACCUCAUUAGUAACAACAUUCUGCCACUGUCUCCCACUGAAAUUAAUAGCUGACUUUGCCAGAGGGGAAAGAAAUGCAGCACAUAUCAAUCUACCCAUUUCUGUGGCGCCUACCGAGGUGAACCAGACUAGUAGAUAAUACCAGCAAAUCUGCACGUAUUCUACAAAAAAUAUUUUAUUCUUUUUUCAGUCCACUGCUGACUUUCCUUUUUACCACACUGUAUCAUAUGGAUGCAUUUAAAAUCUAAGAGGAAAGUCAGUAGAGAAUGUUCACCUAACUUUUGUUGCCGAUCUCAGCUAUUUCAAACGUGAAAGGAAUGGAAGGAUAAAUAAUGAAUGAAAUUUUGUAACAAAGAUACAGGGUAACAUUCAUGCGGUAAAAACACCCAUGUGAAAACGAAAGGCACACUGACCAAGGGAUCUGCAAUAGAGAGGGAAUAUAGAUCUACAAACAAACAAAACAAAAAUUAAAAUUUAAAACUCUAAAACGUAUUAUGCACCACUUUUGUGAAGGUUAUAUUUCGGUAAAUUGUCUCUUAUGACGUGUGCAUUCUUGUCAUCUUGGGGUUCCCCACAGAGGGAAAAAAUAGUUACCAAAGAAGGAGUAAAAGAAAAAAAAAGAAAGUUGUACAAAUCUGUAAAAUAAUCCCUUACUUACUGACUCUGGAACACACUAAUUUCACAACAGUAUCCUGAUCAAUACCAAACUGUCACACUGUGUCUAAGAACUGUUUUGCCUACAACGGCCACUUCCACAUUGACACCUUGCAGAAAUCUUAGAACUCCUUUCAAUUAAAAUUGAAAACUAACUCGCUCCGGGCAAUUCGAGUCCUCUUAAGGAAAUUCAAGCGCUCUAUUUAAAAAGAACUUAAAUAAUUUUUAAAACAACAACCCAAGCAUCCUUUACUCUCAACUUCUGUGAGGCCAAGCCACGACCUCCACCUACCCAGCCUGUUGCUAGAUAAGAGCACUUUAGGCAGUGCUAGGCAACAGGCAUGAUGUGACAAACCCAACCAGACUUCAAAACUUUUUCCACAGAAAGAUAAGGUAAACAAGAUAUACUUAGCACCACACCCAUUUAAACGCACAAGCAGCCAGGAAUGUUCCCCCCUCCCCGCCACCCCACCACCCCAACAACUCUAGACCUCCAGCUGGUCAGGAAACAAUGUCUCUGCAAUCAAGAUAGCGAUCUGGCCCAGGGUGUUCAGGCAUUCCUCACCUCCAGGCUGGCCUACAGCUCCAUUCUCCAAUGCCAUCAAAACCAGAAUUGGAACAUUUUGUUAGGAAUCGGGCAAACGUCCAAAUACCCGGACUAUCCUCGCCCCAGUUCUUUUUUGCAACCAAAAUCUGUUUUGGCUACUGAGCAUGCUCCGACUUAAGACAGGCGCCACAUGGGAGUUUUCAAAGCUUAGGCUCCAAACUCCACGUAAUAACAGCAGCUGAAAGGGGAAGAGAGGAAAACGGGCGGGGGAGGGGGAGAGCCCGGAAUAUGAAUUUGAGUACUGAUAUUAAAGUGAAAGACCGGGCAGAGGCUGAAUGUGCAAACAGGCACGGCUUGGCGUUCUCCUUGCAGCAAUGCAGAAGUUAACACGAAGGGGAAGGAAUCUUUGCAAUGGUGAAAACUGGCACGGCAACGGGCAGAAACCAGGUCUAACUACCAGCUGAGUGCAGUAGCAGGUCACAAGUGCCCAGAGUGUAAUUCCCACCGAUAAGCGUGGGUCCUUAUCUUUGAAACACAAAGCGACGGCGGCACGGAUUCAUCAAGCCAUUGGACAGCUUUGCAGUGUAGCAAGCAGACCGGACGGCUCGACCGAGCACGGCGAUCCUACCAGGGGUGUGACUGAGGGUGGUGCUUAGAUGAGGUAGAACAAACCGCUCCUCUGGACACAAGCAGCGCCGGGAUUCCCACCCCCCCCCCCCCCCCCCCCCCCCCCCCCCCGCNNNNNNNNNNNNNNNNNNNNNNNNNNNNNNNNNNNNNNNNNNNNNNNNNNNNNNNNNNNNNNNNNNNNNNNNNNNNNNNNNNNNNNNNNNNNNNNNNNNNNNNNNNNNNNNNNNNNNNNNNNNNNNNNNNNNNNNNNNNNNNNNNNNNNNNNNNNNNNNNNNNNNNNNNNNNNNNNNNNNNNNNNNNNNNNNNNNNNNNNNNNNNNNNNNNNNNNNNNNNNNNNNNNNNNNNNAGCCCCCGGCCCGGCUCGCCCGCUCGCCCGCCCUGGGCCCCACACUCACUCACCCGCCGGCUGGCCGCACUCCCCCGGCGCCGUCGCUGCGCUUUCCCUCAGUGCAACUUUAUUAGCAGCUCGGCCGCGAGACACGCGCACGGCGCCCGCUCGCCCAGGACCCGGAUGAGGGAGGGAAGGAGCCGGGGAGGACACCGCUGGGGUCUGCGCAUGCGCGUCAGGGGUCGAGUGACCGCUGCGGUGCCCGAGGGAAGGAAGCCUCCGCGCCUGGCUCCGCGCGGCCAAGUCCAGCUUCCGAUCCGCCGGAGGCUCUCGCGGCAAUGGCCAGCCCCCGAGUGGGAGUCGGUCAGCUCCCACCGCCACGACGGCCACUAGUAGUCUCCACUCACCAAAGCAGCUCAGAAGAUAACAAAAUAAAACUAUUGCCCUCGAUAGGGACAAUUGCGGAUUUUCUCAACUGCAAAAACUGUUAAAAAAAAAAAAAAAAAAAGAUCUUCCGACACAAGUUUGCUGCUUUCAUUGAUUUUUAAAGUAACUAUAUAAAUCUAGGUGAAGAGAGUCCUCUUCACUUAGAUCUUUCUAUGAAAACUAGCUUCAAAACAAACUUGAGAACAGUUUCUUACUCAAGGCAGCCCUGAAUCACCUCCCAUUUGGAAAUCUUGGAGCCUCUACUUUCCCAACCCCUUUCGAGUGCCUGAACUUGGAGUUCCCCGAAGUAGGACCGUCCAUGUUGGGAGAUCAACCCCAGUAGUUCGGGAUACACAUGCCCUUCUGGACAGGUGAGGCCAGUGAGGUGCACAGAAGUCACCAGUAGGCUGGCAUCUCUCCAAUCCGCCUCCUGGGACAAGAAUCUAAGUCUCUUUCUUAGUCAUUGGGGCUCUUCUCAUUGUUCUUUCCCUCAAAAUUCCCCAAAGUGGCAGCGUUUACCAGACUAUGAUGAUGGCACUACCUAGGGUGCCAGGUGGAAGAGUACUAGUGAAGAAAGACUUUUAAAUGUUCUUAUUUUAAGAGGUCAAUACUGGUUUUCCAAUACUCCACCAUAGGUUUGCUUUUUUUUUUUUUUAAUUUUUUUUUUUCAACGUUUAUUUAUUUUUGGGACAGAGAGAGACAGAGCAUGAACGGGGGAGGGGCAGAGAGAGAGGGAGACACAGAAUCGGAAACAGGCUCCAGGCUCCGAGCCAUCAGCCCAGAGCCCGAGGCGGGGCUCGAACUCACGGACCGUGAGAUCGUGACCUGGCUGAAGUCGGACGCUUAACCGACUGCGCCACCCAGGCGCCCCUAGGUUUGCUUUUUAAAGAAAUUAAGUAAAAAUCAAAAUUGGAGUCAUUUCCAAAUCCUCUCCCUCAUAGCCUAAUCCAAUCCAUCACGAAAUCUUAUUGACUACCUUCAAAAUAUAUGCCAAAUCUGACCAUUUCUCACUGCCUCUAUUAUCACCUCUGUGGCCUGAGCCAGCAUCAUCUCAUACAAAUGAGCAGCUGCUAUUUUGCUCAGGGCCCCAGCAGUUUGUUUCCACGGUGAGAAGACAAAGUAAAUGUUGCCGAAGUCUCUGCAUAAGGGGUGGCCAAUCUCGAAUGGGACAGAGGCCUGGUGAGGAAGUGUAGUGGGCCAGGGUGGGGACCCAGAGAGUGCCUGUUCUGAUCAAAGGGACAGCUGCUGUUCCACUCCAGCCGACCACCACUGUAGGGAAACAGAAUAAGGGCCAGUGUUGGCAGAUCGUCGGAUUUUUCAAAAACAGUUGGAAAUCUGGAUUUUAAUGCAAAAAAAAAAAUCUCUGUUAUCUAAAAGCUUAGCCACUUCUCUCAUUCUUUCUCACUUCUUCUCCCUUUCUUAGACACGCUGGAGGCCAAUUCUCUCCAAGCCAAGCAAAACAAAUCCAUGGUCCUGAUUUAGUCCUAUUGACCAUUGGUUUGCAGUCUCGGGUCUACAUCUUAAACCUCUUUACUACACCAUAAAUUUUGUGAAAGUAACGUCUGUGUACUUUAACUCUUUGUCACACUCACUGAUUAUUUGUUGGCAAUUCAGAACUUUCCAGCCCUUGGAAGGCACAUAUUUCUGGAGCCUGCAUAGCUUUACAACUCCCAGAAGUGCCCAUAACCCUGCCUUGGAGGGUGCCUUUUUUUUUCCCUCAGAACUGAUGUUUGCAGAGUGUUUUGUUGAACAUUGUAAGACAUAACAAUUUGGUUUAAACAUUUUGUACACUAGAGCCAUUCCUCACUUCAAACAGCUAGUAAAAUCCUCCCCCAAAUUGUUGGCCAUCUUACAGUCACUGCACAUUAUAUAAGGAACAAUUUGUGAUUGCAGGAUUCCUUUUAAUGCUCACAUUUGUAAUCUUAAAGCCAACAGUUGUGUUUCCUGAACGAUGUACACACCUACUGAUCAUAGCAACCAGACUCCAACCUCUCCAAGUUGCUAUGUGAGCUCAGCUUAGGUCUGAAGUGGGAAGAAAUGAUACCAUAGAAGAAGGAAUGGAUGGGGUGCCUGGGUGGCUUAGUCGGUUAAGUGUCCGACUUCAGCUCAGGUCACGAUCUCGCGGUCUGCGAGUUCGAGCCCCGCGUCAGGCUCUGGGCUGAUGGCUCAGAGCCUGGAGCCUGCUUCCGAUUCUGUGCCUCCCUCUCUCUCUGCCCCUCCCCCGUUCAUGCUCUGUCUCUCUCUGUCUCAAAAAUAAAUAAACGUUAAAAAAAAAUUAAAAAAAAAAAAAAACGAAGAAGGAAUGGAAACUUGAACAGCACAAAAAUGCCUCCCAAAGGACUGAGAAAUUACCUAGGCUCAAAGGGUAUAGAAAAUCAGACAGAUUGCUAAAUAUCUAGAUAGUUGAAAAGAUUAUCAAAUGGGAAAUGAACAGGCACACCAGAGCCAUAGGAAUGGAAUAAGGAAGUUCCUGUUUUUAACUAUCAAAUGGAUUCUAAAAACAAAUGUAGAAUGGGAUGAUCUGAACAAAUAGACGUAGUCUCAAUGGGGCAUCACAAUAGAUAAACUGAUUUAGCAUUCCCCCAUGAGAGCAGAUAAAAGCAGCUUCAAACUUCAAUCUUACUAUACUUGCAGAGAAAGCUAUUUGUGGAUAAUUUAGGCCAGUGCUUCUCAACCAGAGGCGACUGUCCCAUCCCAGGGGAAUAUUUGACAAUAUUUGAAAACAACCAUGACUGUCACAUACAGGAGGGUGGUGCUAAUGGCAUCUACAGGGUAGAGGCCAGGGAAGCUGCUAAUUUCUCUGCGAUAUACAGGACAGCCUCCUUCUACCAAGAGUUAUCCCGUCCAAAAUGUCGCUACAUACAAAAAGGUUUUGUGUGUUAUUUUUUUUUUUAAUGUUUUAAAGUUUAUUUAUUUAUUUACUUUGAGAGAGAAAGAGAGAGCACACGAGUUAGGUAGGGUCAGAGAGAGAGACAGAGGGAGAGAGAAUUCCAAGCAGUCUCCACUCUAUCAGCACAGAGCCUGACAGGGGCUUCAAGUCACAAACCGUGAGACGAUGACCUAAGCCAAGAGUCUGAUGCAUAACCGACUAAGCUACCCAGGCGUGGCUGUAUGUAUUGUUUUAAGCCCCAGAUAGGUUUUCUUUAAUUGGGGUUGAUGGGGAGAAAAUGGGCCCUUUGCUUGAAUUUUUCUAAUAAAUAAAUAAAAAUAAUUGCUUUAAUUAUUCAUUAGGUGAAAAGAAUUAGCCAGAAUGUUUGGUUCAUGACCUACUCCCACCUUGAAUUUUCCAGAACCAAAAAGGAAGUAAUUUUCAGGAAAUAGGGGACCACAUAUGGAACAUGAAGAACUGGAAUCAUUAAUUCAGUGUUUCCCUAUUUUUAAUUUUUAACUGAAGGGUAAUUGAGGCAAACUGAUUUUGGUGCCAGUAUCCUUAAUAAAUAUGUCAUUUCCAUGCUUUGCUACAGCUCAGAAGAUUCUCCCUAAAUGCCCAACGCACACCCACUAGAAUUGGAAGAACGUGAUGGUGUUUCGAGGAGUCACCCGGCAUAAAAGGAUCAGUGAGUGACCACAGAGAUGCAAAGGGUCCCACCUCAUAGCCACCUCCGGGACACUCACUUCCUCCGACAGUCAUGGCAAGUGGACCUCAGAGGAAGAAAUGCCUGAGUUUGAGUGACUCCUCUGGACAGUGUCCUGGAAAUGAUAAAGCUUCCUCUCCAAGUUCUG
rnacentral:lncRNA from 1 species